CCUACGGGAGGCAGCAGUGGGGAAUCUUGCGCAAUGCGCGAAAGCGUGACGCAGCAACGCCGCGUGGGGGAAGAAGGCCUUCGGGUUGUAAACCCCUUUCAGGAGGGACGAAGGUGCGGCGGCGAACAGCCGACCGUACUGACGGUACCUCCAGAAGAAGCCCCGGCUAACUACGUGCCAGCAGCCGCAGUAAUACGUAGGGGGCAAGCGUUGUCCGGAAUCAUUGGGCGUAAAGCGCGCGUAGGCGGCCCGAUAAGUCCGCUGUAAAAGUCCAGGGCUCAACCCUGGAAAGCCGGUGGAUACUGUCGGGCUCGAGUCCGGAAGAGGCGAGUGGAAUUCCUGGUGUAGCGGUGGAAUGCGCAGAUAUCAGGAGGAACACCGAUAGCGAAGGCAGCUCGCUGGGACGGUACUGACGCUAAGGCGCGAAAGCGUGGGGAGCAAACAGGGUUAGAUACCCUGGUAGUCCACGCUGUAAACGAUGGGCACUAGGUGUGGGAGGUGUCGACUCCUCCGUGCCGGCGCUAACGCAUUAAGUGCCCCGCUGGGGAGUACGGCCGCAAGGCUAAACGUCAAAUGAAUUGACG
rnacentral:rRNA from 1 species